rnacentral:rRNA from 1 species
UGAGGAAUAUUGGUCAAUGGGCGAGAGCCUGAACCAGCCAAGUAGCGUGCAGGAAGACGGCCCUAUGGGUUGUAAACUGCUUUUAUAAGGGAAUAAAGUGAGUCUCGUGAGACUUUUUGCAUGUACCUUAUGAAUAAGGACCGGCUAAUUCCGUGCCAGCAGCCGCGGUAAUACGGAAGGUCCGGGCGUUAUCCGGAUUUAUUGGGUUUAAAGGGAGCGUAGGCCGGAGAUUAAGCGUGUUGUGAAAUGUAGACGCUCAACGUCUGCACUGCAGCGCGAACUGGUUUCCUUGAGUACGCGCAAAGUGGGCGGAAUUCGUGGUGUAGCGGUGAAAUGCUUAGAUAUCACGAAGAACUCCGAUUGCGAAGGCAGCUCACUGGAGCGCAACUGACGCUGAAGCUCGAAAGUGCGGGUAUCGAACAGG